UACGAAGGGGGCUAGCGUUGUUCGGAAUUACUGGGCGUAAAGCGUGCGCAGGCGGUCUGUUAAGACCGAUGUGAAAUCCCCGGGCUCAACCUGGGAACUGCAUUUGUGACUGCACAGCUGGAGUGCGGCAGAGGGGGAUGGAAUUCCGCGUGUAGCAGUGAAAUGCGUAGAUAUGCGGAGGAACACCGAUGGCGAAGGCAAUCCCCUGGGCCUGCACUGACGCUCAUGCACGAAAGCGUGGGGAGCAAACAGG
rnacentral:rRNA from 1 species